rnacentral:tRNA from 3 species
GGGGCGGUAGCUCAGCCGGUCAGAGCAGAGGACUCAUAAUCCUUGGGUCGUGGGUUCGAGCCCCACCCGCCCUACCA